CACGUAGGGGGCGAGCGUUGUCCGGAUUUAUUGGGCGUAAAGAGCUCGUAGGCGGCUCAGUAAGUCGGGUGUGAAAACUCCAGGCUCAACCUGGAGACGCCACCUGAUACUGCUGUGGCUAGAGUCCGGUAGGGGAGCAUGGAAUUCCUGGUGUAGCGGUGAAAUGCGCAGAUAUCAGGAGGAACACCAGUGGCGAAGGCGGGUCUCUGGGCAGUAACUGACGUGGAGGAGCGAAAGCGUGGGGAGCGAA
rnacentral:rRNA from 1 species